AACACGUACACAACCUUCCUUUAAGUGGGGGAUAGCCCAGAGAAAUUUGGAUUAAUACCCCGUAAUAUAGCGAUGUGGCAUCACAUUGCUAUUAUAGCUACGGCGCUUAAUGAUGGGUGUGCGGCUGAUUAGAUAGUUGGCGGGGUAACGGCCCACCAAGUCUACGAUCAGUAGCUGAUGUGAGAGCAUGAUCAGCCACACGGGCACUGAGACACGGGCCCGACUCCUACGGGAGGCAGCAGUAAGGAAUAUUGGUCAAUGGACGCAAGUCUGAACCAGCCAUGCCGCGUGAAGGAUUAAGGUCCUCUGGAUUGUAAACUUCUUUUAUUUGGGACGAAAAAGGGUCUUUCUAGACCAACUGACGGUACCAGAUGAAUAAGCACCGGCUAACUCCGUGCCAGCAGCCGCGGUAAUACGGAGGGUGCAAGCGUUAUCCGGAUUCACUGGGUUUAAAGGGUGCGUAGGCGGGUAGGUAAGUCAGUGGUGAAAUCCUAGAGCUUAACUCUAGAACUGCCAUUGAUACUAUCUAUCUUGAAUAUUGUGGAGGUAAGCGGAAUAUGUCAUGUAGCGGUGAAGUGCUUAGAUAUGACAUAGAACACCUAUUGCGAAGGCAGCUUACUACGCAUAUAUUGACGCUAAGGCACGAAAGCGUGGGGAUCAAACAGGAUUAGAUACCCUGGUAGUCCACGCCCUAAACUAUGGAUACUCGACAUUUGUGAUACACAAUAAGUGUCUGAGCGAAAGCAUUAAGUAUCCCACCUGGGAAGUACGUCCGCAAGGAUGAAACUCAAAGGAAUUGGCGGGGUCCGCACAAGCGGUGGAGCAUGUG
rnacentral:rRNA from 1 species